UACAUAGGGGGCAAGCGUUAUCCGGAAUUAUUGGGUGUAAAGGGUGCGUAGACGGAGAAACAAGUUGGUUGUGAAAUCCCUCGGCUCAACCGAGGAACUGCAACCAAAACUAUUUCCCUUGAGUGUCGGAGAGGAAAGUGGAAUUCCUAGUGUAGCGGUGAAAUGCGUAGAUAUCAGGAGGAACACCAGUGGCGAAGGCGACUUUCUGGACGAUAACUGACGUUGAGGCACGAAAGUGUGGGGAGCAAACAGG
rnacentral:rRNA from 1 species